UACGGAGGGUGCGCGCGUUGUCCGGAAUCACUGGGCGUAAAGGGCGCGUAGGCGGCCUGAUAAGUAGGGGGUGAAAUCCUGCGGCUUAACCGCAGGGCUGCCUUCUAAACUGUCAGGCUAGAGCACAGUAGAGGCAGGUGGAAUUCCCGGUGUAGCGGUGGAAUGCGUAGAGAUCGGGAAGAACAUCAGUGGCGAAGGCGGCCUGCUGGGCUGUUGCUGACGCUGAGGCGCGAAAGCUAGGGGAGCAAACGGG
rnacentral:rRNA from 1 species